rnacentral:rRNA from 1 species
UACACUCCUACGGGAGGCAGCAGUGGGGAAUUUUGGACAAUGGGCGAAAGCCUGAUCCAGCAAUGCCGCGUGAGUGAAGAAGGCCUUCGGGUUGUAAAGCUCUUUUGUCAGGGAAGAAACGGUGAAAGCUAAUAUCUUUUGCUAAUGACGGUACCUGAAGAAUAAGCACCGGCUAACUACGUGCCAGCAGCCGCGGUAAUACGUAGGGUGCAAGCGUUAAUCGGAAUUACUGGGCGUAAAGCGUGCGCAGGCGGUUUUGUAAGUCUGAUGUGAAAUCCCCGGGCUCAACCUGGGAAUUGCAUUGGAGACUGCAAGGCUAGAAUCUGGCAGAGGGGGGUAGAAUUCCACGUGUAGCAGUGAAAUGCGUAGAUAUGUGGAGGAACACCGAUGGCGAAGGCAGCCCCCUGGGUCAAGAUUGACGCUCAUGCACGAAAGCGUGGGGAGCAAACAGGAUUAGAUACCCGUGUAGUCCC